rnacentral:rRNA from 1 species
GACGAACGCUGGCGGCGUGCUUAACACAUGCAAGUCGAACGGUGAACCCGCUUCGGUGGGGGAUCAGUGGCGAACGGGUGAGUAACACGUGGGCAACCUGCCCUCAGCUCUGGGAUAACUCCAAGAAAUUGGGGCUAAUACCGGAUGUGACUGCUGACCGCAUGGUCUGGUGGUGGAAAGAUUUAUCGGCUGAGGAUGGGCCCGCGGCCUAUCAGCUUGUUGGUGGGGUAGUGGCCUACCAAGGCGACGACGGGUAGCCGGCCUGAGAGGGUGACCGGCCACACUGGGACUGAGACACGGCCCAGACUCCUACGGGAGGCAGCAGUGGGGAAUAUUGCGCAAUGGGCGAAAGCCUGACGCAGCGACGCCGCGUGGGGGAUGACGGCCUUCGGGUUGUAAACCUCUUUCAGCAGGGACGAAGCGAAAGUGACGGUACCUGCAGAAGAAGCACCGGCCAACUACGUGCCAGCAGCCGCCGUAAUAC